rnacentral:lncRNA from 1 species
CUCCUGGUGACUCCUGGUCGAAGCUUGAAGUCCAGUGGUCUGAGGAGAUGGCAGACAUGGGGUGAGUAACCACACUGUUAGAUGAGGGUGAGCUGUAGGUGACCUGUGGGCAGAGUUCUGAUUGUCCGGGUGUUCAGCACCUGAAGUAGAUCACAGAGCAAAUGGUGUCUGUUCCUGGACAGUAUCACAACUGGGCCAGAGCUAUGGAUGGAAUAGGCAGAAGUAUCAGGUUGGGGCCCCAGCUCUCUCUCUGGGCCUCUGCUUCAUGAGCAGUAAAAUGGGAGAGUUCCCUGGUGGAUCGACAGGUUAAGGAUCCAGUGUUGUCUCUGCUGUGGCUCAGGUCUCUGCUGUGGCAUGGGUCCGAUCCCUGGUUCCAGACCUUCUGCAUGCUUCUCCCCCAAAAAAGUCCCAACAAGCAGAAAAAUGGGAAUGAUGAUAGUGGCUUGAUGGGAGUAUUGGUGAGGAUCCAGUGUGGUAAAUUAGCCCAAGGGGCUGGACCACAGAGGAUGCUCUGAGUACGUGGGCAAACCUUGGCUUAUUGUCAGCUUUGCCAGUUGUUCUCAGACUCUGGUCCACAUCUGACCACCUGCAGGAGUUUUGACAUAUGCCGGACCCUGCCCUGAGAUUCUGAGCCAGCAGAAGGACAGGCCUUUAGAGGCUCCAUAGACGAUCCUGAUACCCACAAAAGUUCAAGAACACUGAGCAUGCUGUCAUUCAUUGAAGGAGUUCGCUGAGCUCUUUCUUCAGUGUCGGUGCCUUAGGUCCACUCAGUGAGAGUGGUAGCAGAAGUCACUGACUGGGAGCACCAGGAAAGCAUGAAUGGCUGGAACCUGGAAAUCGUACUAAGUCUCACUGUCUCACCAUUUCUGGGUACUGAGUAAGAAAUAGCUCUGUGUGGUGGUUCUGGGCCUAACUCCUGGCUCUGCUGCAUACUGGGUGUGUAACCCUGCAUGGAUUAUUUAACUUUCCCAUCUUUAAAUAAGUAUAAAUGUCCUAAGGUUUUAUUGUAAUUAAAUGAAAUGAUGCACACCAAGUACCUAGAUCAGGGCCUGACGUUGUAUAAAUAUCUGCAGAGUAAAUAACCAAAUGAGAGUUGAUUAUCAUUUAAUUUUACUAUUUUUGGCAAAAAUUCUUAUCUUGCCCAGUUCCCCCAAAUCCAUCCUCUUCUUUCUAGGCACAUGGCUGGCUACUCAGCUAGACUACAUUUCCCAGCCACUCAUGGGCAUAGUGUGGCCAUAAGGCCAGGUUCUUAUCAUGAACUCUGAACACAAGUGAUGCUUGCAACUUUCACAUGUGGGCUUUCCACCCUUCCUGUCCACUGGCUGGGAAGACAGCAAGUUCGGCCACCUUGGAAGUCAUGGAGUGGAAGGGCACAGCUGACCCAGGAGACUGUAUCUUGAUAGGACGACCUCUUUUUUAAAAUUUUUUUAAAAUAAAAAACAUUUUAAGCAUGUAAUUCAGUGGCUUACCACUGAUUCUAGAACAUUUUCAUCACCCCCCAAAGAAACCCUGUCCUCAUCAGCGGUCACUCCCCUUUGUUCCUCCACUCCCAGCCCCUGACAACCACUAAUCUACUUUCUGUCUCUAUGGAUCUGCCUGUUAUGGACAUUUCACAUAAAAGGAAUCAGAAGUUCCCACCCUGGCUCAGUGGUUAAUGAAUCUGACUAGGAGCCAUGAGGUUGUGGGUUUGAUCCCUGGCCUUGCUCAGUAGGUUAAGGAUCCAGCAUUGCUGUGAGCUGUGGGGUAGGUUGCAGAUGCAGUUCGGAUGCCAUGUUGCUGUGGCUGUGGUGUCAGCCGGCGGCUACAGCUCUGAUUAGACCCCUAGCCUGGGAACCUCCAUAUGCUGCAGGUGUGGCCCUAAAAAGACAAAAGACAAUAAAUAAAUAGAAAUAAAAUUAAUUAAUUAAAUAAAAAAAUAAAAGGAAUCAGACAAUACAUGGUCUCUUAUGAAUGACUUCUUUCACUUAACAUAAUGUUUUCAAAGUUUUAUCCAUGUUGCAGCAUUUGCUAGUACUUCGUGUUUUUUUUUUAUGGCUAAUAGUAGUUCGUUGCAUGUGUGCAUACUACGUUUUGUUUAUCCAUUCAUUAAUUGGUGGACAUUUGGGUUGUUUCCACUUUUUUGGCCAUUAAGAAUAAUGCUGCUUGGGGAGUUCCCAGGCUAGGAGUCAAAUGGGAGCUUUAGUUGCCAGCCUACACCACAGCCACAACAACAUGGGAUCUGAGCCACAUCUGUGACCUACACCACAGCUUACGGCAACACCGGAUCCUAACCCACUGAGUGAGGCCAGGGAUUGAACCCGAGUCCUCAUGGAUACUAGUUGGGUUCGUUACCACUGAACCACAAAUGGGAACUCCAGUCCUUGCCUUUUGGGAUGUCUUUGCUACAUCAGCUCCUCUGUCACCCUCAUAUACCACCCUACUGAAUUUUCCUACCAGUGGGAAUAAAAGGACCAGAGCAACAUGUUUGGUCUGGUAUGAAACCUACAUAUAUGGAAUGGUCUUGCAUGGUCUCCACAAUCCAUGCAUCCAUUCGUCUAUUCAUCCAUCAAAAAUUUGUGAGCUCUGAUGAUUUGCCAAACAUUAUGAACCAGGGUCCCAGCCUUCAGAGAUCUUACAGUUUGGCUAGAAAGCCAGGCAGUUUGACCACUGGGAUAGAUUCAGGGCUUGCAAUUCAGGCAAAACUGGGUGGGGUCCAGAUUUCUGCCUCACUUGUGGAUGAAGUGUUCUCAGCAGGUUGCUUCAGCUCUCUGAGCCUCACUUUGCUCAUCGGUAAAGUGGGAGUACUAAUGCCUAUUUGCAGGGAUUAAGAAUUAAGAAUAAUGUGUGCUAAGUGACUGACAGGAGGUGUUUGCUCCCAGUGGUUGUUUUUAAUAACCCCUCACUGUGGGGGGCACAGUGGGUUCUCCUCUGGAAUUAGGGCAGGGGUGGGGGGAGAUCCAAAGACCACUUGGUUCAACUGGAUCUGAGGGCUGGAGAGGCUUUACCCGGUGAGGAGGUGUGGGAAGGGCAGAGGGCAGCCAGCGCAAAGAUGAGAAGUCUGGAAGUUCAGGGCCUGGUUGGAAAACAGUUCUGAGCCUUCAGUAGGUAAAAAGCUCUGCCUCCCUGCCCUCUCAUCCCCGCACUCUUUGCCCUGCUCUGGUCCAGCCCUUGCAGGAGGGGUGGGGGAGGCCCUCUGGAGACCUAGGUUUCUCCCUCUUCUCCCCGCAAUCCACCCCAGAGACUUGGAGCUCUGCUCAUUCAGAUGCAGGCUUUAAUCAGAGCUUAAGACCAGUUGAAGCCCCAAGGAUCCUGGCUGCCUGACCUGAUUUUUUAAAAAUCCAGCCUCCAUCUGGGUUUGGGGGCUGCAGUGCUUCCUUACCGCAUUAGUAGGAGCGGGUUUUCUAUUUGCAUGAAAAUCAAGAGGAGGGUGAUGAUGAUGAUGACUGUACUGGUGUUAAUAAAGUAAUAAUUUUCUGUUCAGUCCCUCAGGGUGGUAGGGCAGGGAGAGCACAGCAAGAGUUAACAGGGGAUCUCACUUUGAUCCUGAUCCCGAGUCAUUCUCAGUGAGUUUCCUCUUCUGAAAAAUGAUGGGCUUGGGCUGGAUGCAUUUCCACGAUCCCCGCCACCUGACAGUCUGAGGCUCUGUGAAGGGACCCUGGGCUCUGCGACCCAGUUUGCUGUCUCCAGGAGCACCAGUCCUGUGUCUGUACUUGGCAUCCACCAGGUGACCUGGGCGAGUCCUCCCUGAUCUCUCUCCCUCCCAGAGAUGGUCUGGGGAUUGAAAGCAGGUGUGUGAACCUGGAGUGGAGGCCUGAGGGAGCAUGUUCCUGGAGGAGAGUGGGGCCCAGGUCUGGUGUGACCUGGGGCCCAGGUCUGGUGUGACCAGGUCUAAUGAACCAGCAUCUUGAGCUAGAGAGCGUGUCUCCCCUCUUGGGGCUAUGUUACUGUCAUCAUCUGUCUGUAUUUUGAUGCUUUGACAUCUGGGCCUCUGCUGACCUUAGAGGCACUGCCUCUCUGGGGGUAGCUGAUUCCUAGAGGGGAAACAACAUCCCUGCUGGUGCACUUAUCAGAUACAACCCCCCUCAUCCAGCUAUCACAUUCCUGGCCCUGGGCCCCCUGACCUAAUCACUCCAGGGCCAGGUACCAGGGACAGCCCCUGUCUCCCAGUACCUGCUGAAAUUAUUCAGACUAGCUGAUCCUGAGGCUGCUUGUCCUGCCCUGCCCUUCUUUCCUGCAGAAACCAUAAUAAAGCCUCUUGCCCCUCUCCUUCUGCCUCCUGACUGGUCCUGGUUCUUCCCAAAGUGACCCCCUCAUGCAGAGCAGGCCCUCCUAUUGGAUCUGUGAGUAACAAGCCAUUUCGUCAGUGGCAGUUGUCUCCGCUCUGUUGGAAACUCUAAAUUUCCCAGUACACUAUAUUUUAAAAUGUGGGCCCCCUGUGGCAGUGUUCAUAUCCUCAGUGCUUCCUGCGCCUCAGGCAGCAGAGUUCUUUUCUGACUCUCAGCUCUGCAGAAAGCCAGGUGUCCUCAGGACCUCCUGGUGUCGGGCGCGGUCACGCCAGGCCAGCCUGUCCGAGGCAGCCUCAUCCGCCGGUCCCUUGAGUCAGAAUGUACAGUGACGGGUCGUCAACAUGCUAGUACUGAUCUCAGGGUGGUGGGAUCCAAGAAACAUCAAGGUGUUUCUGUUUUCUUCUGUAUACUUCUCUGGGUUUUCUAGAUGUCCUAAAGGGGAACAUACAUUUCUUUCAAAGUCAGGCGAAAUGUUGCAGAAUAUUUAUUUUCCCUCUAUAUUUGAAGAAGUGCCCAAUUUGACUGCAGGCUACUGCCCCCCUACCAACGACUCAUGCUCUUUGCUGUUGGAACACAAAUGGAAUGAAGAAACCAUACUCCCUGCUCUCAAGGGGUUUUCAGCCUUGGAAUAUUCUAGAAUGAUGCAUAGGAAUAAAAAAAUAAGUUGGGGGAGUUCCCGUCGUGGCGCAGUGGUUAACGAAUCCGACUAGGAACCAUGAGGUUGCGGGUUUGGUCCCUGCCCUUGCUCAGUGGGUUAACGAUCCGGCGUUGCCGUGAGCUGUGGUGUAGGUUGCAGACGCGGCUUGGAUCCCGCGUUGCUGUGGCUCUGGCGUAGGCCGGUGGCUACAGCUCCGAUUCCACCCCUAGCCUGGGAACCUCCAUAUGCCAUGGGAGCAGCCCAAGAAAUAGCAAAAAGACCCCCAAAAUAAUAAUAAUAAUAAUAAUAAUAAUAAAAGUUGGGGAAUGAAGAUGGUCAUUUAGAGUUAAGGCAACACGCAUGCCACAAACAUGUGAUGAUACACAGGCAACAAUUUUUUAAGUUUUUUGACCACCUUUACCCAUUUUGUCCACCCCUGCCCCUGUACCAAUCUUCCAAUUUUUAAAAUUGGAUCAAAGCAAUGUUUUUUUUACUGUUGGUCAAGACAGAAGUUAUUUCCACUGACAUCCAAAAUAUGGGUUGAAGAGAAAUACCUAGAUAUUGAAGAGGAAUGUCAGGAUUGAAAUAAUUGAAGGGACAAUGUCAUGCAAGGUAGUAGUUACAAGUUAUCAUAUAAAUAUUCUUAAGAACUUAUUUAGUAACAUUUGCAGCCUAAAAUGAAUUUUAAUCUGUGAAAAUACAAAAAAGGGUUAAGUAUAUUUAUGAAAAAUGUUGUAUUUAUUUAAUCCAUUCAGCUGUAUCUGUUGCUAUCCCCAAGAUCUAUUAAGCGCUGCCUUGAUCAUGGUUCAGUCAGCUCAGACAAAGCAAUUUCAAAGCUCUCUUCUUUCCCCUCAUUCAUUUAACAAGUGUUUAUUGCAUGUUCAUUAUUUGUAGGAUGCUGUAUAUACUCUGGGCUGCAAUUCAGAUCCAGGCUUUGUGUCACCAAGAACUUGCCAUUUAGCUGCAGGAGGUGGGAGUGCAUAAAUAACAGUUUUUAAGUGAUUAAAAAGCUCAAGGUCCAGCUAUAGGGAUCAGGAAGAGCUCCUUGGAGAAAGUGAUGUCUGGCAGGUGGUGGGCAAGGUGGGGACCAAGCAUUAGGAAGGGAAGAGGUUCGGGGCAGGUGGCAUAUGGGGAGUGGGGCUCGGAAGCAGGGGGUGACAUCUAAGAGCUUGGGCCCUGGAGUCUGUCAGGCCUGGGUCCUCCCUCAUUCCCCCGAGCUCAGGGACUGUCAUGAUGAACAAAGCUACAAUGGGCUCCAGUGCCACCCUGCAGACCUUGUGACUUGGAAAUUCAUCGAACAUUCUUGCACAUCUGACACGAGGACAGUGACAGCUCCUAUAUCAUAGUGCUGUCAGGAGGCUGAGAUGAGGCAUGUGAAGAGGGGAGCUUGCUGCGCAUGUGCCACUUCUUGUUGGUUCUCAUUGUUGGCUCAUUCAUUCAUUCAACAGGUAGUGUAGGUGCCCCUACUGGGGGCCAGGCCCUGUGUGGUGCACAGCAGUGAGCAGAACAAAGAUCUCUCCAUUGUGGAGCCUACGAUCUUGUGUGGGGUGGGGAUGGAGAAUAGGAGACAUAACUAAUGUGCAGUGGGCUAGGUAGUGACCCGUGGGAAAAA